rnacentral:rRNA from 1 species
CGGCGCGCUUAAUGCAUGCAAGUCGAGCGAUGAGGCCUUCUUCGGAGGGCACAUCAGCGGCAGACGGGUGAGUAACACGUGGGUGACCUGCCCUUGAGACGGGGAUAACGGAUGGAAACAUGCGCUAAUACCCGAUAGGGUCCCAGGGUCAAAGCUGGGAUGAAAGCUUUGGUGCUCAAGGAGGGGCUCGCGGCCCAUCAGCUAGUUGGUGAGGUAACGGCUCACCAAGGCGAAGACGGGUAGGGGGUGUGAGAGCACGGNCCCCCACAAUGGGACUGAGACACGGCCCAUACUCCUACGGGAGGCAGCAGCAGGGAAUAUUGCACAAUGGACGGAAGUCUGAUGCAGCGACGCCGCGUGGAUGAUGAAGGCCUUCGGGUUGUAAAAUCCUUUACGGGGUGACGAGGAAGGACGGUAGCCCCGGAACAAGCGUCGGCUAACUACGUGCCAGCAGCCGCGGUAAGACGUAGGACGCAAGCGUUAUCCGGAUUUACUGGGCGUAAAGCGUCUGUAGGCGGAUGAGUAAGUUGGGCGUGAAAGCUCCGGGCUCAACCCGGAGAGGCCGUUCAAUACUGCUGAUCUAGAGGAGGCCAGAGGGGAGUGGAAUUCCUGGAGUAGCGGUAAAAUGCGCAGAUAUCAGGAAGAACACCAGUGGCGAAGGCGGCUCCCUAGGGCCCACCUGACGCUGAGAGACGACAGCUAGGGGAGCGAACAGGAUUAGAGACCCUGGUAGUCCUAGCCGUAAACGAUGGAUGCUAGGUGUAGGGCCGUAGAGGCUCUGUGCCGGAACGAACGCGAUAAGCAUCCCGCCUGGGGGAGUACGGCCGCGAGGGUAAAACUCAAACGAAUUGACGGGGACCCGCACAAGCAGCGGAACGUGUGGUUAAUUCGAUGCUACACGAAGAACCUUACCUGCGUUGACAUGGCGUGGUAGUGAAGCGAAAGCGGAACGACCCUUCGGGGAGCGUACACAGGUGCUGCAUGUCUUGUCGUCAGCUCGUUCCGUGAGUUGUCGGUUUAAGUCCCGUAACGAGCGCUACCAUGCGCAUUAGUUACAAGUGUCUAAGGGUACUACCAGGCGGUAAGCCGGAGGAAGCUGGGGAUUACGUCAAGUCAGCAUGGCCCUUAUAUCCAGGGCUACACACACGCUACAAUGGCCGGUACAGAGGUCAGCGAAGCCGCGAGGUGGAGCGAAUCCCAGAAAGCCGGUCGUAGUUCGGAUUGCAGGCUGCAACCCGCCUGCAUGAAGCUGGAGUUGCUAGUAACCGCGCGUCAGCCAUAGUCCGGUGAAUACGUUCCCGGGUCUUGUACACACCGCCCGUCACGUCAUGGGAGU